rfam:Schistosoma margrebowiei strain Zambia genome assembly, scaffold: SMRZ_contig0001849
AUUCAGUUGAAAAGUCUCAAAUAAGACGAAACCUGCGUCGUGGAU